CCUACGGGAGGCUGCAGUGGGGAAUAUUGGACAAUGGGGGGAACCCUGAUCCAGCGACGCCGCGUGAGUGAAGAAGUAUUUCGGUAUGUAAAGCUCUAUCAGCAGGGAAGAAAGUAAUGACGGUACCUGACUAAGAAGCCCCGGCUAACUACGUGCCAGCAGCCGCGGUAAUACGUAGGGGGCAAGCGUUAUCCGGAUGUACUGGGUGUAAAGGGGGCGUAGACGGCGAUGCAAGUCUGAAGUGAAAGGCGGGGGCCCAACCCCCGGACUGCAUUGGAAACUGUAUGGCUGGAGUGCAGGAGAGGUAAGUGGAAUUCCGAGUGUAGCGGUGAAAUGCGUAGAUAUUAGGAGGAACACCAGUGGCGAAGGCGGCUUACUGGACUGUAACUGACGUUGAGGCACGAAAGCGUGGGGAGCAAACAGGAUUAGAUACCCGGGUAGUC
rnacentral:rRNA from 1 species